GGAGUUGUGGCUCAGCGGUAGAGCGCUCGUCUGGCAUGUGCGGGGUCCUGGGUUCAAUCCUCAGCACCACUU
rfam:Ictidomys tridecemlineatus contig060250, whole genome shotgun sequence.